UGGGGAAUUUUGGACAAUGGGCGAAAGCCUGAUCCAGCAAUGCCGCGUGUGUGAAGAAGGCCUUCGGGUUGUAAAGCACUUUUGUCCGGAAAGAAAUCCUUGGCUCUAAUAUAGUCGGGGGAUGACGGUACCGGAAGAAUAAGCACCGGCUAACUACGUGCCAGCAGCCGCGGUAAUACGUAGGGUGCAAGCGUUAAUCGGAAUUACUGGGCGUAAAGCGUGCGCAGGCGGUUUGCUAAGACCGAUGUGAAAUCCCCGGGCUCAACCUGGGAACUGCAUUGGUGACUGGCAGGCUAGAGUAUGGCAGGAGGGGGAUAGAAUUCCACGUGUAGCAGUGAAAUGCGUAGAGAUGUGGAGGAAUACCGAUGGCGAAGGCAGCCCCUGGGCCAAUACUGACGCUCAUGCACGAAAGCGUGGGGAGCAAACAGGAUUAGAUACCCUGGUAGUCCACG
rnacentral:rRNA from 1 species